AGAAAUGUGAGGAAAGUCCGUGCAUUCAAGGACAGACCGCCGGAGAAAGUCCGGACGAUGUGAGUCGGUGGAUAGGACCACAGAAAUGUAGACUGCCGAUGGAUUCAUAAUCACAGGCGAUGGUGCAACGGUGAGUUAAGAGCUUCACCAGUAAUAUCGAGAGGUAUUAGCUAGGCAACCCCCGGUCGAAUGCAAGAUUAAAUCGAAGGUUAUAAAGGCUGUCCGCCCACUUCGGAAAUAUCGCUAGAGUUUGCGGGUAACCGCAAUCCCAGACAGAUGAUUAUCUAGAAACAGAACACGGCUUAUGAACUGCUUU
rnacentral:RNase_P_RNA from 1 species